rnacentral:rRNA from 1 species
CAGCCGCCACGGUAAUACGGAGGGUGCAAGCGUUAAUCGGAAUUACUGGGCGUAAAGCGCACGCAGGCGGUCUGACAAGUCAGAUGUGAAAUCCCCGGGCUUAACCUGGGAACUGCAUUUGAAACUGUCAGGCUGGAGUCUUGUAGAGGGGGGUAGAAUUCCAGGUGUAGCGGUGAAAUGCGUAGAGAUCUGGAGGAAUACCGGUGGCGAAGGCGGCCCCCUGGACAAAGACUGACGCUCAGGUGCGAAAGCGUGGGGAGCAAACAGGAUUAGAUACCCGCGUAGUCCCUGUCUCUUAUAC